rnacentral:rRNA from 1 species
GACGAACGCUGGCGGCGUGCUUAACACAUGCAAGUCGAACGAAGUGGCGAACGGGUGAGUAACGCGUAAUCAACCUGCCCUUCAGAGGGGGAAAACAGUUGGAAACGACUGCUAAUACCGCAUACUGAAGGAGGGGCUUGAGUCGGAUUAGCUUGUUGGGGGGGUAACGGCCCACCAAGGCGAUGAUAAGUAGCCGGUCUGGGAGGGUGAACCGGCACAUUUGGACUGAGACACGGCCCAGACUCCUACGGGAGGCCGCAGGUGGGAAACUUCCGCAAUUGACGAAAGUCUUACGGAGCAACGCCGCGUGAGUUAUGACGGCCUUCGGGUUGUAAAGCUCUGUUAAUCGGGACGCGGUACCGGAAUAGAAAGCCACGGCUAACUACGUGCCAGCAGCCGCGGUAAUUC